UACAGAGGGUGCGAGCGUUAAUCGGAAUUACUGGGCGUAAAGCGUGCGUAGACGGUUAUUUAAGUCGGGUGUGAAAGCCCCGGGCUCAACCUGGGAAUUGCAUUCGAGACUGAAUAGCUAGGGUACGGUAGAGGGAAGCGGAAUUUCCGGUGUAGCGGUGAAAUGCGUAGAUAUCGGAAGGAACAUCAGUGGCGAAAGCGACUUCCUGGACUAGUACCGACGUUCAGGCACGAAAGCGUGGGGAGCAAACAGG
rnacentral:rRNA from 1 species